rnacentral:rRNA from 1 species
GACGAACGCUGGCGGCGUGCUUAACACAUGCAAGUCGAACGGAAAGGCCCUGCUUUUGUGGGGUGCUCGAGUGGCGAACGGGUGAGUAACACGUGAGUAACCUGCCCUUGACUUUGGGAUAACUUCAGGAAACUGGGGCUAAUACCGGAUAGGAGCUCCUGCUGCAUGGUGGUGGUUGGAAAGUUUCGGCGGUUGGGGAUGGACUCGCGGCUUAUCCGCUUGUUGGUGGGGUAGUGGCUUACCAAGGCUUUGACGGGUAGCCCGCCUGAGCGGGUGACCGGCCACAUGGGGACUGAGGGACGGCGCAGACUCCUACGGGAGGCAGCAGUGGGGAAUAUGGCACAAUGGGCGGAAGCCUGAUGCAGCAACGCCGCGUGCGGGAUGACGGCCUUCGAGGUGUAAACCGCUUUCGCCUGUGACGAAGCGGGAGUGACGGUAAUGGGUAAAGAAGCAACGGCUAACUACGUG